rnacentral:rRNA from 1 species
UACGUAGGGGGCAAGCGUUGUCCGGAAUCAUUGGGCGUAAAGAGCGUGUAGGCGGCUUGUUAAGUCUUGCGUGAAAUCUCGGGGCUCAACCCCGAGCGGUCGUGAGAAACUGGCAGGCUAGAGUGCGGGAGAGGAGAGUGGAAUUCCUGGUGUAGCGGUGAAAUGCGCAGAUAUCAGGAAGAACACCCGUGGCGAAGGCGGCUCUCUGGGACGGUACUGACGCUGAGAC